rnacentral:lncRNA from 1 species
AAAAUUCGCGAAAUUUUGACCGAAAUCUGAAUUAAAAAGGGUAAUGAAUAGUACCAAAAUUUUUUAGGGGAUUGAAAAUUGAAAAAUUAAAAUCCAUGGAUGUUGAUUCAUGAAUAAAAGAUCUACUCAUAUCAAUUGAUGGCAUCCAACUUCUUACCGCAUCUUAGUAAUUUUUAUAACUUCUAAUAAAACGAAAAGAGAGGUUACAAAUUAUGGCUUCAAAAUUAAACAUACACUUCUUUAUCCUUGACUAAAAGAAAUCAUGAUCAAUGGAUAUGCCAAACCUAAUCCCUCGCAUGUGUAAUCACUCCUCUUGUCCUCCAAUACCGAUGAGCUCGUUCCUCUAUUUUGUCCGGUACUCCGGUGAAUCCUCCCAUCCUCCCUUGUCCUUAUCUCCACCUUGCCUCUCAUACAUGGUUACAAAUUAUGGCUUGUGGAAGCCAGAUAGGAGCCAUGGCUUAGAGCUUAUUAAAACACAUCGCACAACCCACCACGGCCUAUCAAACAGGUCAUUGCCCAAUUGCAUGCGCACAGUACAUAUCCUGGCCUCCUGCAUGCACGGCAGCAGCAGCAAGCGAGAGGCAGCAACCGUGACCUACAGCCUGCAGGACGGUGGACUCCAGUAGCACGCAGGAGGGUACGGGGUAGGU